rnacentral:rRNA from 1 species
UAUGAACGCUGGCGGCGUGCCUAAUACAUGCAAGUCGAGCGAACAGACGAGGAGCUUGCUCCUCUGACGUUAGCGGCGGACGGGUGAGUAACACGUGGAUAACCUACCUAUAAGACUUGGAUAACUUCGGGAAACCGGAGCUAAUACCGGAUAAUAUAUUGAACCGCAUGGUUCAAUAGUGAAAGACGGUUUUGCUGUCACUUAUAGAUGGAUCCGCGCCGCAUUAGCUAGUUGGUAAGGUAACGGCUUACCAAGGCGACGAUGCGUAGCCGACCUGAGAGGGUGAUCGGCCACACUGGAACUGAGACACGGUCCAGACUCCUACGGGAGGCAGCAGUAGGGAAUCUUCCGCAAUGGGCGAAAGCCUGACGGAGCAACGCCGCGUGAGUGAUGAAGGUCUUCGGAUCGUAAAACUCUGUUAUUAGGGAAGAACAAAUGUGUAAGUAACUAUGCACGUCUUGACGGUACCUAAUCAGAAAGCCACGGCUAACUACGUG